rnacentral:rRNA from 1 species
UACGUAGGGUGCAAGCGUUAAUCGGAAUUACUGGGCGUAAAGCGUGCGCAGGCGGUUGUGCAAGACAGAUGUGAAAUCCCCGGGCGAUCAACCUGGGAACCUGGCAUUUGUGACGUGCACGGCUGGAGUGCGGCAGAGGGGGAUGGAAUUCCGCGUGUAGCAGUGAAAUGCGUAGAUAUGUGGAGGAACACCGAUGGCGAAGGCAGCCCCCUGGGCCAGCACUGACGCUCAUGCACGAAAGCGUGGGGAGCAAACAGG